GAUAUAGUGAACCAUGGCUACUACACUUUUACUAUAAUAAAACCAUGGUUACUUUUCGUAAGGGCUGAUAGAUUUCAUGAGAUUCAGCUAAAAAAGUGACAUCAAUCCAGAUCCAUUAUUGUCAAGGGAUGCUGCGGUUACCCACAGCAACCAAUGGCACAACACUUGUUAUAUACAUUUCUAUCGCGCAAAUGGAAGAGCUAAACUCUAUUAGCUGAACUCAUCCUGUUAUUAAUUUCUCUCAGACACAAAAUAAGUUAAAAUCUAGGCCGUGUUAAGGAGUUUUAUUAAUUCUCGCGCGCUACAAUCUCGUGAGCACUUGCCAGUCUGAGCACGAGCGUCAGUUGAUUUUCCCUAAAAACCCAGCGCGCGCAGAAAACACGUUCUCGGCCAAUAACGCGUGCCAGCGAUUGGCAGAUCAUUUCCAACAUUUAGCAAGUGAAACCACGUGCAAGCAUCUGUUCGCUCCAAUCAAUUGAUGUAAACUGAACGAAGCGGACCUUUGUGGGAGCAAUUGUGUUUCCGUGGCGCGGAGGUAGAUCUCUUAGUGAGUGUGGAGCCCAUUGAAUUUGUGUUGAAAGCGGAAUAAUACGGUCAUAUAAAUAGUAGGGAAACGGAUAUUAUCGGGCGCGUCUAAUUAAUCAGCCGUUUAAUGCUUAUUUGGCAACAUACGGAUUAGACUGUGCUUAGUCAAUAGCGUUUUAUAUGAAAAAGAAGCUAUUUUUACCUGGAUGCACGGAGUAUUAUGCGUUUUCUUUUCUCAUUGGACUGUAAAAUACGCAUGGUUGAUAUUGAAUAUUUGGACGUCCACGUAUUCCUUUCAUCUUUUUAUGACUUGUGACUCAAUGAAAACUAUAUUUUGAAACUGACAUUUUUUUUUUGUAGACCACCGAGUGGAGAUGUUAUUCGCCUUCAAAUUAGAUACUUUCCCAUUGCCAAUGCCACAAAACUGCGUCUUUUUCUACGAACCAAGAGCUGUAAAGAAACGCAAGACCCCAUCUCUGUGAAUACUGCGCGUGCUGCAUCAUCUCAUUCAAUUUGCUGUCAGCCAAGAGAGGGGCAACAAUAACUUUGAACGGUUAUUCUGUCACAUUUCCUUCAGUCUCCGCAUCAUUUUCCACAGAUUCAAAGCGGGCAGCUGUUGCAACACACGCAUACACACGCAGUGAAAAUCUAAGACUAACAAAGGAAAACAGAAGCCAAGAAAAAGAGCCAUCAGCCUGGAUGAAAAUGACUGGAGUCCUGGCCAGGAAUACAAGUCGUCUUCUUUUCUAAAGCAGAUGAACUAUCACUGUUUUUGUGAGCCAGGGGCUUUUUGAAAGGAUGUUUAUUUGCACAGAUUGAAGAUUUUCUCUUUGACUUUUUGCUACCAAAACCAGUGCCAAACACUAACCGUGCCAACCAGAAGCAAGAAAUUAUUUCACUAGUAUUUUUGCAUUUUUGUUGAUCCAUUUAAGCCAUUGAAACUCAAUUUACACCAACAUUAGUUCACAAUUUUUACCUUAUCUUCCCUAUUAGUCUUUUUAACUAUAAUAGCAUGUAAUGGUUCCCAAGGUGGAAAGUUUAUAUGUCCAUCACUUAGUUUAAGUCAAAAACAACAAGCAGCUUUUGAUCCCCAAAAUAGGGAGAACAGUGCAUUAUUGGUUAAACAUGCUUUAUGUAAGAGUGGCCGAUACAAAUGCAUUAACCUGAAAGAGUUUGGCUCCUGAUCGAUUGCUCGAUGGAUGGAUGGAUGGGCUUAUGGAUGGCUGGCACAAGCCUCAUUAAACUUUCCAAAUUGAGCUGCUGCUAAUUCUGUUGAUUAGUCGUCUGUUCCUCUCACAAAGGCCCGUUUAAAUCUUCCUCUCCAUCAGAUCUCUUUAGUCAUCCAUCUUGUUUACUUCUCCCUCAAAAGUCUCUGAAGGGUUUAGAUACUGAAGCCAUACAUCUCAUAGCCAUACUAACGUCAAGAUCCCUGCCAUCAUUGCGAGGAUUCAGCUUGGUCAUUCUGAAAGAUCAGGUGCAUGGGUAUUUUCAAUAAUAUCUUUAGAGGUGUGCAUGUUUAACAUUGGUCCAGGUUUGACGUUCCGUGAUCUGCCAUAUUCACCAGCGAGCCAUUGACGCGUUUACUGUCUUGACAGUGGGACGACGUUUAAAGUUGUCACACUACUUGAAAAGAGGCUUUUUAAUAGUUAGGAUAGAUCUUUGGUGUGACUGCUUGACGAUAUCCACGUGUUCCACAUUGACGGAUGAAUCCUGACUUCAUGCCUGUUCAGUGGGCUCAACCAUGCUGUCC
ensembl:lncRNA